rnacentral:rRNA from 1 species
GACGGAGGGUGCUAGCGUUGUUCGGAAUCACUGGGCGUAAAGGGCGCGUAGGCGGCCUUGCAAGUCGGGUGUGAAAGCCCCGGGCUCAACCUGGGAAUUGCAUUCGAGACUGAAUAGCUAGGGUACGGUAGAGGGAAGUGGAAUUUCCGGUGUAGCGGUGAAAUGCGUAGAUAUCGGAAGGAACACCAAUGGCGAAGGCAGCUUGCUGGGACGGUACUGACGCUGAGGCGCGAAAGCGUGGGGAGCAAACAGG